rnacentral:misc_RNA from 1 species
GAUGAAGAACGUAGCGAAAUGCGAUAGGUAGUGUGAAUUGCAGAUGUAACGUGAAUCAUCGAAUCUUUGAACGCAAAUUGCACUCUCUGGUAUUCCGGGGAGUAUGCCUGUUUGAGGGUCGCCAAAUCAACAUCGAAAUUCAUUUGCUUUUUUGUAAAUGUUUAUCGGAUUUGAGCCGUCUUUUUUAUUUUAAUUAAAGUGGCUUAAAAUGUAAUUUUUUUGGUAUCGAAAAACGUUAUUUUACGAUCAAAUUGAUUAAAAAAACAAACGUUUUCGAAUGCCGCCUUUUUAAUGUAAUACGUUUGACUGAUGGUUAAUCAUAGUUUCAUUCGUAUACGAUUUUUUAAUUUUUGACCUCAAAUCAGGUAAGAACACCCGCUGAACUUAAGCAUAUCAAUAAGCGGAGGA